GAGGCCGGAGAGUGAUGACUGUCGCUGCAGCGAGACGACCUUCCCUGGGGUCCCCGCUCGAGCCGCCCGUACCUCUCCCCCGCCCCACACCGGGGUGGGAGGCGAAGCCGGGUCAGCGGACCGGAGAGCGGCCCCGCGCGGCUCGGCGCCCACUCCCUUAGCGGACCUGUCUCCCGUCCCGGACAGUGACGCACUCGCGCGACAGCCCCAAGUGCCUCACCCUUCGGGACCGGAGCCCACUGUCCCCGUGGGCGCGCUGGCCCGGUCGGCCGGCGGACACCGGGGAUCCCCUCAGCAGCGCUCAAACGGUGUCCGCGGGCCGGUCCAAACAGGCCUCGCACGGUUCGCGCUUCAAGUCCUCUCGUUUCGCUCUUAGGACCAAGCCUUCAGCAUGUGAACCUUCGGCAUGAAGCAUGUUCCCCGCCAGAACAGAUGCCAGUCCCACUUCGGAAGCUCAGAGCAGGUGGUGGUGUGGAGUCAGCUGCUGAGCAUGGCCAUCCAGGAUUCAGGUAAAACGCUGUAAUGCUGCCUCUCUCCUGAGAGAGCCAUUCGUACUCAAACAUGAGAGGCUUCUGCAUAGUCAACACGUCAGGAAUAAUGAGAAGUGGAGAAGGAUGCCAGCGUGAGAGAGACAUAACUAAAGAGUUGACGAAAAGCCCAUGAAUGGCUCGCCAGAGAUGCCAGGUUCUCUGCUGGACAACUUGGAGUGUCCUUAUCAGAAGAUUGCAAAGAGCUGGGCCUGGAGGAACAAGAGGUUGGUAGAAAGCUUAUCGCUCACGAUAAGAAACAGCAGUCUGCCCGUGCCCUCCCCAAAACUCCCACAUUCACCUUUAUGAGUGCUUGGAUGUCUGCCACUCUGAAGGCUUCCACAGCCAGCCAGAGGGGAUGGCAAAUGGAGCCUAGCCAAGAAGAGAGACAUGGUGCUUUCUCUUCAUCUGCUCUUGUCCCCAGCAGAGCUAUGUCUUUGAGAAAUGAAAGAGAAAGAGAAUGGAUGUAGAAAGACUGAACAAGCUCUUCCCCAGUACACCGGAUAGUGAUGGGCAAAGAAAAACCUUUGAUUCCAAUGAUCUUACAGUUUCCUUGCUGAAAACACACAGAAGGUAAAAGACUCACUUUCAGGUAUUGAUGAACAGGCAGGGGAGGCUCCCUCAGCCUAUGGCUCAACUGCUGAAAUUGUUCUUUCAGCAAAAUACUUCAGUUCUCUUGAGGCACAUGCAUUUAGAAUAAGAAUAUGGGAGUAGACUGGAUGAGAUCUACCUACUGCAAAUCAGGUUCCUGAAAACAGCUUGGGUAGCCUCAUCAGUACCCACAGAAAGCUGGACUGACAAGGGGUGUCUUUGAGCCAAACAAGAAAAGAACAACCCCCUUAAAAUCGUGUGGAUAAAAUCCCGAACGCUUAUCACCGUGAAAACCUAGCAGCAGCAGGGGCCAGUCAGAUGUGUGUUCCUGUCUACUUGGGAGAUCCAGAAAUGCUGAGUUCUUUAGAAAUCUCCCUUCUGGUAAUGGUGAGACCACUGGGUACAGCAUGUCACACACUCAUUGCUUCCCACCUCUUCAGCCCUGACUGUUGUGACUUGGUGGGUUCUAGACCAUUUGGGGCCUGCUGGGCUUGUGCUUUUUUUUUCCCCCUUUGGGACCUGGAGUCCUUGGGGUUUACGCUGUGUGCCUUGAACUCCAGCAGCUGUGUUCUUUCCGUCUUCUUUCUAUGCAGUUUCUGAUGCAGAGAUUUCAUUCUCACAUGUGUUUCUGCUCACAUCCUGCGUGUUUGCCGCUUAGCCUGUGAUCUCUCUAGCCCUUUGGAAACUUGAACUAUACCUGUCUCUGGAAGGUGCUCGAAUGGCUGACUACUGGCCUGCCAAGACUCUGGACUCUUUUGUACAUUUUUAGCUUUCCAAGUUCCAAAUUCUAGAUGCCUUUUCAUGCGUUGCUGCCAUUAAUCGCAGUGUGUUUUUAUUCCUAAAAGCCAUGGAUUAUUAUGCAGAAAUCCAAGUGCCGAGGUUUAGAGAGCUCCUUUUGAGUUGCUAAUUAGGUAGCCCCCCCACAAAACAGUACAAACUAUUGCAACCCCGCUUGGUUUUCCAUCAGAAAUAAUUGAUAAGACUGUAUGACUUUGUUGCAAAAUACAGUGAAACCAAGCUGGAAGUGAACUACAAGUUCCCUUCUUGGUGGUUGUUUUCCGUAGUGCUAGAUGGUGCUAAGCAAACUGUUAGAGGAGAAAAGGUGACCCCUAUCUUACCCAGUGUGAACCCUAUGAACUAUAACAACCUGCCAGAGAAAAGGAACUCUCUGGUGCAAUACUGGUACAGCUUCUUCGGGGGUAACCAACCACUCUCUGCUUGGAUUUGACACUCUCUCUGCAUAAGGGAAUUCAUGCUUGACACUACAGAUUCAUUUCUGAAGUGGUCACUGGGGUAUGGCUGUGACAGACCUGACUAUGUUGUUUUGGGGAGAAUUAUGGAAGGACUUUGGAAUUUUGGACUAGAGAAUUCAUUGAGUGUUGAGCAAUUAGUGGGCUAUUUUGUAGGAGCUUGGAAGAUGGGAGCAUUGAGGGCAAUACAGAAGAUGAAAGCCUGGCUUCUGAAGUUUCAGAGGGAGGUUUAAAGACUGUGUCAGAGCUAUCUGUUACUUUGAAUUAAUAUUCUGUGGCUCUGCUUAGUUGCGGCUGAAGAAUCAGUUGUAAUCUACAAGAUAUCACAACUACUAAUGUAAAAUCUUUGCUUUGCUGAGAUACUCGAUGCUGGUUGGCUAGAGCUGUGAAAUUAAUAGUGAUUAAGAAGAGACCAUUGUUGUUGAGGUGAAAUCUUCAGGAAAGUGUUUCCUGAGACUAUGUAGGAGCUGUGUUCCACAGACAGCCAAGAUUAUACUUCAAGCUGGCACCUGAACUUGGUAGUGUAAGAGUGACCCAGGUGGUACUGGUUUUGAAGGUCAUGGAGAACAGCUCAGGCUUGGCACUGUGAGGGGCCAAGAGAGGACCAUUGUUGAAGAUGCAGCCUCAGUGGCCGUUGAAGGCACAGGAUUGAAGGGAUCAUAGAGAAAAUGAAAGAACCUAUGAGAGGCUAGUGGUGAAAGUGUGGCCCAGUUUCAACAGAGGUCCCCAGCAUGUAGAAGAUGCUAGUUCCAUAGGAUGGCCACCAAGAACAGUAGCAGUGGUGGAGUGGAGCCAGCCAGGGCCUAGAAGACAGACUGUGUGCACUGCAGAGGCUGGAGCCGAAGAAGUGACCCGAGCCUCUUGAAGGAACCCAGGAGAUGGUGAGUAAAUUCCAGGUGUUAGACACUGAGUUAUUUACACUUUUGGAGUUUGGUUUUGUUUUGCUUUGAUCGUGACUUUGCCCUGGUUCUUCCCUCUUGAAGUAAGAAAGUAUUUCAUGUAUUUUUGAUUUUACAGGAC